CUAACUUUGGGACUUGAAAAUAAGUAAUUUGACCAAAUUUUGGCAAGACUGAGGCAGGUCGUAAGUGAGGGUGGACGUAAGUCGAGUAGGUCGUAAGUUGGGGAGUAGCUGUAUACUUUAUUGUAAUAUUGUCUUUGCCUAUGUAAAUACAGUACACUUUAGAUUUUAAUGAAUAAUUUUUUGAAACAAGAUACAGAUUCAGCAUACGUAGCCAAAAUAAUAAUAAUUCCCAUGAGCAUAUAUGUACUGCAGCACAGCUAUUAGCUCUUGGGAAGACAAGCACUGGAAAUUUGCAAUCAGCCCAGGUUUUAACUUCAGGUGAUGUGUGUAAUGCAAUAUUAUGUGGAAUAAAAUUUUCUAUAAA